rnacentral:rRNA from 1 species
UACGGGGGGGGGCAAGCGUUGUUCGGAAUUACUGGGCGUAAAGGGCUCGUAGGCGGCCAACUAAGUCAGACGUGAAAUCCCUCGGCUUAACCGGGGAACUGCAUCUGAUACUGGAUGGCUUGAGAUUGGGAGAGGGAUGGCGGAAUUCCAGGUGUAGCGGUGAAAUGCGUAGGAUAUCGGAGGAACACCGGUGGCGAAGGCGGCAUCCUGGACCAACACUGACGCUGAGGAGCGAAAGCCAGGGGAGCAAACGGG